rnacentral:rRNA from 1 species
CACCGGCGGCUCGAGUGGUGGCCACUUUUAUUGGGUCUAAAGCGUCCGUAGCCGGCUUGGCAAGUCCCCUGGGAAAUCUGGCGGCUUAACCGUCAGGCGUCCAGAGGAUACUGCCAGGCUUGGGACCGGGAGAGGUGAGAGGUACCUCAGGGGUAGGGGUGAAAUCUUGUGAUCCCUGAGGGACCACCAGUGGCGAAGGCGUCUCACUAGAACGGGUCCGACGGUAAGGGACGAAGGCUAGGGGAGCAAACGGG